CCUGGUUGAUUCUGCCAGUAGUCAUAUGCUUGUCUCAAAGAUUAAGCCAUGCAUGUCUAAGUAUAAGCAAUUAUACCGCGAAACUGCGAAUGGCUCAUUAUAUAAGUUAUCGUUUAUUUGAUAGUACCUUACUACUUGGAUAACCGUGGUAAUUCUAGAGCUAAUACAUGCUAAAAAUCCCGACUUCGGAAGGGAUGUAUUUAUUAGAUUAAAAACCAAUGCCCUUCGGGGCUCACUGGUGAUUCAUAAUAACUUCUCGAAUCGCAUGGCCUUGCGCCGGCGAUGGUUCAUUCAAAUUUCUUCCCUAUCAACUUUCGAUGCUAGAGUAGUGUUCUAGCAUGGUUACAACGGGUAACGGAGGGUUAGGGCUCGACCCCGGAGAGGGAGCCUGAGAAACGGCUACCACAUCCAAGGAAGGCAGCAGGCGCGCAAAUUACCCAAUCCCGACUCGGGGAGGUAGUGACGAUAAAUACUGAUACAGGGCUCUUUUGGGUCUUGUAAUUGGAAUGAGUACAAUUUAAAUCCCUUAACGAGGAACAAUUGGAGGGCAAGUCUGGUGCCAGCAGCCGCGGUAAUUCCAGCUCCAAUAGCGUAUAUUAAAGUUGUUGUGGUUAAAAAGCUCGUAGUAGAACCUUGGGCCUGGCUGGCCGGUCCGCCUCACCGCGUGUACUGGUCCGGCCGGGCCUUUCCCUCUGUGGAACCGCAUGUCCUUCACUGGAUGUGUCGGGGAAACAGGACUUUUACUUUGAAAAAAUUAGAGUGCUCCAGGCAGGCCUAUGCUCGAAUACAUUAGCAUGGAAUAAUAAAAUAGGACGUGUGGUUCUAUUUUGUUGGUUUCUAGGACCGCCGUAAUGAUUAAUAGGGACAGUCGGGGCAUCAGUAUUCAAUUGUCAGAGGUGAAAUUCUUGGAUUUAUUGAAGACUAACUACUGCGAAAGCAUUUGCCAAGGAUGUUUUCAUUUAUCAGGAACGAAAGUUAGGGGAUCGAAGACGAUCAGAUACCGUCGUAGUCUUAACCAUAAACUAUGCCGACUAGGGAUCGGACGAUGUUAUUUUUUGACUCGUUCGGCACCUUACGAGAAAUCAAAGUGCUUGGGCUCCAGGGGGAGUAUGGUCGCAAGGCUGAAACUUAAAGAAAUUGACGAAGGGCACCACCAGGAGUGGAGCCUGCGGCUUAAUUUGAC
rnacentral:rRNA from 1 species